CCAAAACAGAAGCUCGCUGCCUUUGGAGCUGGUUGGGUAGCAAGAGAUGGAAUUUAUUUAGAGCUGUCUUUCACCACAAGUGAGGCUGCAACAUCCCUGAAAAGAUAUUGUCUGAUUCUGCUACUAAUUAGGCUCAAAUGACCUUGAAAGGCUCAGGGAUUUCUGUAAUUCCUCCAUUCCAUAUAUAAAGGGCUGCAACAAUGAGAUUGUAAGACAGUGCCUGUGGCCUUCACAAAACAGAGCCAAGGAGUCAGGAGCAGAGCUGUGAAACUUGACCUACUUUGCACUACAGCAGGAUAUCAGCUCACCUGCAAAUUCAUCUUUAAGGGGAUGAAUAAUCAAUAUAUCCGUCGGGAAGUCUUCUGCUGUGAAACUUGUCAUGAGCUCAAAAGCUUCUGGGAAAAAGAAAUUAGCAAACAGACUUGUUACAGGGAACUGGAAGAAGAUCGUCAGGGAAGGAGCGCCCUGAGAAAGCUCAGAGAAGAAUGGAAACAGAGACUGGAGAAAAGGCUGCAGAUGCUGGACAAUCCUGAUGAGAAGAAAAAGCAGGCAAGCACAGUGGGCUGAGAGCUGCCUGCUUCCCCCACUUGAAAGAUAACAAGCCACCAAGGGCACUCUUCUAGGAGAAAAAUCUAACACCCAAGCUCUGUUGAUUUCCGAAGCAGGACACUCUCUAUUCACUUUCCCAUUUGUAAGGGAUUUACAUGUGGAACCUCCCCCAGUGCUAAUGGGAGUCAUUAUCCAACUCAAUCCUCUCUGUACAGGACAGAGUGACCGCCAAUGUGACAGGGAAGCUCAGGUUAUUUAAUAUAAAAAGCUCUUAGAAUUAACACUCCCCAGGAUUCAAAGAUCCAUGUAGUGUAAUUUAUUUCCACAUUUUCUUUUCAUUUUCAAAUCUGAAUGUUUUAUCUAAGCUUAUCAAGGGCGAUGACCUGGAUGGGAAUUUGGCUUCCCUGGAUCUUUUCUGGAAAAACAGAGUCAAUCCUUUCUUCCUGUCCCUCUUUUUGUGAAUAUAGAAAUGCAACUACUUAAAAAAAUAAGGCUAUUAUUAUAAAAGUAAUAAUUUAUUAACAAUACACUUUGAAAAUGAACUGAACUAUCUUUCUCUUCUCUUCAUAUGAAUUUUUUUUCUCAUAAACGUCUUUAAUUGGAAAC
rnacentral:lncRNA from 1 species